CCUGAUAGUUCAGUUGGUAAAGAAUCUGCCUGCAAUGCAGGAGACCCUGGUUUGAUUCCUGGGUCAGGA
rnacentral:tRNA from 1 species